GCCGACGUAGCUCAGAUGGCAGAGCAGCUGAUUUGUAAUCAGCGGGUCGUGGGUUCGAUUCCCUCCGUCGGCUCCA
rnacentral:tRNA from 1 species